rfam:Dipodomys ordii contig_65416, whole genome shotgun sequence.
UGGCUCAGUGGUAGAGCGCUUGCCUUACAUGCAUGAGGCCCUGGGUUCGAUUCCUCAG